UGGCUUUUUGUAAAUUAUUUAAAGUCUGACCUGCCCAAUGAUUUAAUUUGAAUGGCCGCAGUAUAUUAACUGUGCAAAGGUAGCAUAAUCCUUAGUUUUUUAAUUGAAAGCUUGUAUGAAAGGUUUGAUGAAAAAAUAACUGUCUUUAUUUAAAUUUUAUAAAAUUUUAUUUUUAAGUAAAAAUGCUUAAAUAUUUAUUGAAGACGAGAAGACCCUAUAGAGUUUUAUAUUUUAUUUUAUUUAAUAUUUUUAGUAUUUUAUAAUUAAAAAUAAUUUUAAGUAUUUAGUUGGGGUGAUUAAAAAAUUUAUUUAACUUUUUUUUCAUUUAAACAUUAAUUUAUGAGAAUUUGAUCCUUUAUUUAGGUUUAUAAGAAUAAAUUACCUUAGGGAUAACAGCGUAAUUUUUUUUUAGAGUUCAAAUUAAAAAAAAAGAUUGCGACCUCGAUGUUGGAUUAAAAUUUAUUAUUGGUGUAGAAGCUAAUUAAUUAGGUCUGUUCGACCUUUAAAAUUUUACAUGAUCUGAUUUUA
rnacentral:rRNA from 1 species